rnacentral:rRNA from 1 species
CAGCCGCCACGGUAAGACAGAGGAUGCAAGCGUUAUCCGGAAUGAUUGGGCGUAAAGCGUGCGUAGGUGGUGGUUUAAGUCUGCUGUGAAAGCCCUGGGCUCAACCUGGGAAUUGCAGUGGAUACUGGAUCACUAGAGUGUGGUAGAGGGAUGCGGAAUUUCUGGUGUAGCAGUGAAAUGCGUAGAGAUCAGAAGGAACAUCCGUGGCGAAGGCGGCAUCCUGGGCCAACACUGACACUGAGGCACGAAAGCGUGGGGAGCAAACAGGAUUAGAUACCCCCGUAGUCCCUGUCUCUUAUAA